GGGCGCGUAGCUCAGUUGGUCAGAGCACACGGUUCACAUCCGUGGGGUCGGAGGUUCAAGUCCUCUCGCGCCCA
rnacentral:tRNA from 1 species